AUUGAACGCUGGCGGCGUGCUUAACACAUGCAAGUCGAUCGGUAACGUGGGGGCAACCCUGGCGACGAGAGGCGGACGGGUGAGGAACGCUUGGGAAUCUGCCCUUCAGCGGGGGACAACCCGGGGAAACCCGGGCUAAUACCGCAUACGCUCCACGGAGGAAAGCCGGGGACCGCAAGGCCUGGCACUGAAGGAUGAGCCCAAGUCGGAUUAGCUAGUUGGCGGGGUAACGGCCCACCAAGGCGACGAUCCGUAGCUGGUCUGAGAGGACGAUCAGCCACACUGGGACUGAGACACGGCCCAGACUCCUACGGGAGGCAGCAGUGGGGAAUAUUGGACAAUGGGGGAAACCCUGAUCCAGCGACGCCGCGUGGGUGAAGAAGGCCUGCGGGUUGUAAAGCCCUUUCGGUAGGGACGAAAGCUCUCGACCUAACACGUCGGGAGGAUGACUUAACCUACAAAAGAAGCACCGGCUAACUCUGUGCCAGCCGCCGCAGUAAGAC
rnacentral:rRNA from 1 species